rnacentral:rRNA from 1 species
AUGAACGCUGGCGGCGUGCCUUAGGCAUGCAAGUCGAGCGGGCCCCGCAAGGGGCCAGCGGCAGACGGGUGAGUAAUAGUAAGGAAUCUAUCUUAAAGUGAAGGACAUCUCGUCGAAAGACGGGGUAAUCCUGCAUGUGUCGGUAACGAUAAAGGGCUUAACUGCCCGCUUUAGGAGGAGCCUUACUCCUAUCAGCUUGUUGGUGGGGUAAUGGCCUACCAAGGCUAUGACGGGUAGCUGGUGUGAGAGCACGACCAGCCACAAUGGCACUGAGACACGGGCCAUACACCUACGGGUGGCAGCAACCAGGAAUUGUCGACAAUGGACGAAAGUCUGAUCGCGCGACGCCGCGUGAGGGAUGAAGCCUUUCGGGGUGUAAACCUCUUUUGACCUGUCAUCGAGACAGGUAGAAUAAGCAUCUACUAACUACGU